rnacentral:rRNA from 1 species
UUUCUUGAUUAGUGGCGCACGGGUGAGUAAUGCAUAGAUAAUGUGCCCCUUAGUUCGGGAUAGCCACUGGAAACGGUGAUUAAUACCGGAUACUCCUUCUUGUUAUAAGACAAGUCGGGAAAGUUUUUCGCUAAGGGAUCAGUCUAUGUUCCAUCAGCUUGUUGGUGAGGUAAUGGCUCACCAAGGCUAUGACGGAUAUCUGGUUUGAGAGGAUGAUCAGACACACUGGAACUGAGACACGGUCCAGACUCCUACGGGAGGCAGCAGUGAGGAAUAUUGCACAAUGGAGGAAACUCUGAUGCAGCAACGCCGCGUGGAGGAUGACGCAUUUCGGUGUGUAAACUCCUUUUAUUAGGGAAGAUAAUGACGGUACCUAAUGAAUAAGCACCGGCUAACUCCGUGCCAGCAGCCGCGGUAAUACGGAGGGUGCAAGCGUUACUCGGAAUCACUGGGCGUAAAGGGUGCGUAGGCUGGCUUUUAAGUCAGAUGUGAAAUCCAAUGGCUCAACCAUUGAACUGCAUUUGAAACUGAAAGCCUAGAGUUCAGAAGGGGCAGAUGGAAUUAGUGGUGUAGGGGUAAAAUCCGUAGAUAUCACUAGGAAUAUCAAAAGCGAAGGCGAUCUGCUGGGAUG